AGCGGGGCUGGAGGACAGGACGAAGGCGAGGGUGCGGGUGCGAGAAGCAGGGGCUGUCGGCAAGGCAGCUCCGGGGAGGCUGAUUGUGCCUGGGCAAUGGUGUACGAAGGCUGCGCUUCUUUCUGCGUGCACUCUUCUGUUCGUUUGAAGAAAUGCACGGGAGAGGUGACGUGGGAGCUAUGCCUUCCGCUGCAGUGCCCAGUCCUGGACACAGCUCAGACCGAGCAGAAUCGCAGCUCCGCCUGGCUCGCAUCCAGCAUCCAGCAUUAAUGCAUCCCAGGAGACCUGUCUUAUCUGAUCCCUUUGCAAGAAAUCUCUGGGGAAAAUAAAU